AAGCCUAGAAUGAAUUCUUCCCGGGUCGAUGCCCGAGCGGUUAAUGGGGACGGACUGUAAAUUCGUUGGCGACAUGUCUACGCU
rnacentral:tRNA from 3 species